rnacentral:rRNA from 1 species
CCUANGGGGGGCAGCAGUGGGGAAUAUUGCGCAAUGGGGGAAACCCUGACGCAGCGACGCCGCGUGGGUGAUGAAGGCCUUCGGGUCGUAAAGCCCUGUCGUAGGGGAAGAAAGCUCUCGACCUAACACGUCGGGAGGUUGACUUAACCUACAAAAGAAGCACCGGCUAACUCUGUGCCAGCAGCCGCGGUAAUACAGAGGGUGCGAGCGUUAAUCGGAAUUACUGGGCGUAAAGCGCACGUAGGCGGCUUGGUAUGUCGGGUGUGAAAUCCCCGGGCUCAACCUGGGAACUGCAUUCGAAACUACCUUGCUAGAGUAUGGGAGAGGGAAGUGGAAUUUCUGGUGUAGCAGUGAAAUGCGUAGAUAUCAGAAGGAACAUCAGUGGCGAAGGCGACUUCCUGGACCAAUACUGACGCUCAGGUGCGAAAGCGUGGGGAGCAAACAGGAUUAGAUACCCCANUANUC